GCUGCAGUCAUAAGGCAUUACCAUGGUAGCCUCACAAUUUGGCAUACUGUGAAAGCAACUGCUCUUAUAUUCGGAUCCCAGCAUUUCAUGACGUUUAAUAGAACAGAUUGGGAGAAUAUGAACAAGACCUUUCAAACAUGCCCUGUAUACCCAGAAGGCAUCCCGCCGUCUGACGA